CCACCAACUCCCCUAAUUUCAGCCCUCAAACAUCUUUGCAUAGUUGAAGGAAACUCAUGCCUUGCACUUUCCUAGCAACUCAAAUUUAUUUGAUCUCAAAUAUCCUUCAAAUUACUCUCUCGUUCCAGCCUAUCCAUGGACUUUCAAGUAUACAAUAAGAGACCACCAUUCAAAGAACUCUUCCUCAACACACCAUUAUCACAAGGUUUCAUUUUCUUCUUCUUUAAACUACAUGACUUGUUUUUACAAUAUUGAAUGAGACACCUCCAUUACUUUCACAAACACAAAUCACAGCUAGCCAACAAAGAAUCACACCAAUACAUACCUUCACUGAAAUUCAUCUAAAACAACUUUUAUACGAAAAUACAUAUUUAUUCAUAAUCUGUGCAUAUACUUAUAAAUGAAAGCAUGAUUCAUUGAAAAAGAAACGAAAAGAUCUUUAUAAAUGAAGAGUUUUGAAGCCUGUUGAAAAAUGGAGUCUUGAUCUUGAUUUAGCUUGCCUUCAAGUCUGAGGUGUCGAGUUUGUUGGUAGUCUUGCUGAUGAAUCGAGUCAGGGGAGAGUGGAUUGACGGCGGCAGCCACGGCUGCCCCCUGGUCGCCGGAAUUCAAGAGAGAGAACAUGGGUUGGGGCGGUGGCUGGUCUGGGCUGGGUAUUUGUUGAGGUCAGGACGGCGGCAGCCAUGGGUCGCUGUCGCUGGGAUUUUUGAGAGGGAAGCGACUGUUGCGGCUUUGCUGAAAUCGCCGGAAACCAGGGGGAGGCAAUGGAACUCUUCGCCGUUGAAGGAGAGAGGUUCCCGGAGUUUAGUGAGAGAGGAAGAGUUUAGAGGUCGGUGCGUUGUUUGAGUCAGGGAGGCGAGAGGCUUGAGGGGCUCCUCGCCGGAAAUUUCAGGCGGCAGCCUUAGGCGGUGGUAGAUUUGGGGAUCUAGGGGUUUAUGGGAAGAGAGAGACGGCGCCGCCGCUCACAGGUGGGCGGUGGUGACCGAGGUAAAGGAGAGAGGAAGAUGAUGUGGUGAGUCGGGCAGGAGAUGACGGGCGGCGGCUGGUUCGCUGCUUCGCCGGAGAAGAGAGGGAGCCGGGCGGAUCUGUGUGAGCCGAGAGAGAGUUGAGCGGGUUUCAUUUUGAGAGUGAAGAGGGAGAGAACGAAUUCAGUGAGGAAGAAAAGGGUUAGAAGUCAUGGGCUGAGUUUGGGCCUUAACUGAUGGACUUUAUUUUCGUUUUAUUUAAAUUUAGUUGGGCCUUUAUUUUAUUUAAGGAUUUUGGGGUGCAGUUUUGAUUUAAAGGAUUUCGCUCUUAAUUAUUUUAUUUGAUUGGGCUGCAUGUUAUUUAAUUAAAGAAAUGUCUUUAAUUAGUUUAGUAAUUAGACUUUGUAAUUGGUUUAAUUAAUUCAUUAUUAUUUUAAUUAUGAUUUCAUAAUAAUAAUAAUAUAAUUAUUAUGUGUAUAUAUUAAGUGUAAUUACUCAUUACAUGAGUUAAGCAUGAAAUGAAUUUGCAUAUGCAUUUUACAAAGCAUUUAUGAUUUAAAAUUGGCUUUUAUUAAAUCCAAUUAUUAAAGAAAAAAUCGAGUAAAGAUAUUGUUGGUGUCCUUGACUCAAGGAAUUAGAUUACAAUUAUUUAUUUAUUAAAUUUGAAAAUCCGGCGUGAUGAAUCAUAAAAUGUUAAGCACUAAACUAAGACUUAAGAUUAGAUUGAGGAGACAUAUUAAGAAUAGAAUUUCUUGUAGGUUUUGUGGACCAAGGGAUUAGCGGUGCUUUUCCAAGAAAAGUUUAUGUGAUUAUGAUCUUCAGGCUUGCCUAUCCAGGUGGGCUUACUUUCCAAACGUAUAAAGUAUGAUUGAGUUAUUAAGCUUUAAAUGUUUCAAUGAAAUGCAAAUUAUUUAUUCAAUGAAAUGUAAACUGUUUAUCCAAUAAAAUGUUUAUGUACACUCUGCUCUGUUUAAUGCUCGCCACAACGAAUCAAUUGAGGUUCUCUUAUGGCCUAACACGUUAUUUGAGAAUUGUGUACACUCGUUAGCUGACUUGAUGAGUUGAUCUCCAUCGGGCACUAACUAAGAGGUGUUAUAAGGGUGCUUGCUGGAUGUGUUCCGGAGCAUGUAAUGUAAGGCCUGCCUGGGUAGUGUCCCGAGGUCAAAUGAAACUUGUCUGGGUUACGCCCUCAGUUCAAGUAAAUGGGAGAAAUGGAUCCGACAGUGGCUAAAAAGGUCCGAGAUCACAGCGAGUAAUAGAAAGGGAGUGUGACAUGUGCGCACAAAUGAAAGAAAUUAUUUUAGCAUGCUUAGAAGUUCUUUCAAUUUAAAACUUUCUAAGUCAUGUCAAGUAUGAUUGGAUAAACUGUCUUUACGAAAAUAUGAAAUGUUUCAAAAAAUGCAUGCCCACUGAGUACAUUAGUACUUAGCCCAAAAAUACUUUCAAAUGUUUUCAGGUUGGCUAGCCAGUACUGACGGGACUGAGCUGAGGCUAGGGAUCCGUUGUAGCAGUAGAUAAUAUCUUGUCUUUUAUUUUCUCAACUUAAGACUUUUAUGUUAGAUUUAGAAUAACAUCUUUGAUCGAGUUUAAACACUUAACUUCAAAUUUUAUGCGAAUGAAUACUGGUUAUCAGAAGCAUGAAACAAAACUUGUGAUCUAAAGGGGCCUAGCCCGACUUGUUAUUUUAUUAUUCGGGUUUCAACAAGGAUUUUGCCUUGUGUUAUUUCUAUGAAUUGGUUGCACCUUGAUUGUAUUUAUUUCUUUAAGAAUUGGGGUGUUACAAAUUGCUUUUAUUUAUAUUAGAAAAAUGACAUAAUUAUAUUUUUUCCCCUUAAUUAAAUGAACCAAAUAUUUUUGGUUCAGUUUGGUAUUCAAUUCAAAUUUUUGAUAUUCAAAUACGAAAUUUUGUGAUUAACUCAAAUACAAAUAUGAAUAUUUUGUUUGAUUUGAUUAGUUAUCAAAUAUGAUUCAAAAAUCAUAAUGCUCGAUUAAGUAUUUAAAAAUAAAGAAUAAAAUAGAUAUAAAUUAAAAUAAACUAAAAAUUAAUAUUUACUUAAAUAAAUAUUAAUAUUAAUCAAAGCAUUAAAAACAUUGAUUUCAAAUUCAAUUCAUACGAAAGUAUUUCAUAUUUUGAGUUAAAUAGUAAGAAGUCAAAUGAAAUACUAGGAAGUACUAUUUUGAUUUAUAUUGUUUAAAAUAUACUUGUAAAAAAUUGAAGCGGAUAUUUGAUUCGAUUCGAAUAUUCGCGAAUCAGUGUACGAAUCGAAUAUGAAUAGCAAAUAAAAUUUGAAAGAUAUUCGAGUAACCAUUGGAAUACGCAAUUAUUUUUACGAAUGUGAAUCGAAUUCAAUAAUAUUCGCUUCAAUUCGAUGUGUUUACUUUACAUUUGUAGAAUUAGCUUAUUCUAAAAUUAUAGUUAUAGUCUACAUAUAUAGUAUAACUAUAUAGCUCACACUUAUUUAGUUAUAUAUUAUAAUUGACUAUAUAUUGAUAUUCUAGUUUCAUCAAUAACCUAGUAGAUCUUGUAAUUAUUGUUUGAGUUUUAUAUUUACUCAAUUUAUUUACUUUUCAAAAUUUACUUAUGACUUAUUAUUAUCUAUUAUUUAAUUUUUUAUAUAACAUGAAUGUAACUUAUUCUAGAGAUAUAGUAAUUUUAGAAUUAAAUUAUAGUAUGUAGACAUAUAAAUAUAGAUAUAUAUGUAGCUCAUACUUGUAUAGUUAUAUAAUAUACUUGUAUAUUUUUCAAAGUCCUUUAGUUAAAUAACAUAGAUGCAAUUUAUUUUAUAUUUAUUCAAUUUAUUUACAUGUUUUUAAUUAUUAAUAAAUAUAUAUUUUAUAAGUUGUCAUUAAUUUGUUAGUAAUUAUGAAUUUUUUUAAAUAAUUUACCACUAAUGAGAGAAAGCCAAAGAGGAAGAAGGAUUAUGUGAGGAAGAAAAAAAAUGGUUGACUAACGGUGGGAUAACGCCGUUUGGUCAGACGGCCUUAAUUGAGUUGUUUUUUGAGUUCGGGGGUUUAGUUGCACACACAGUGAUUAAGAGGGGCUAUACGCUAUAAGGGCUACCACUUGAAGGGUGGAUCUGCACCUUUUCCCUUUAAAUAUUAUAAGUUAUGCUUGGAGGCUAAGCAAAUGACGUAAAUAAAAUAAAUUAUUUCUCUUUGUCUCCCCAAAUGUACCGUCCCCUCUCACCCUCUUUCUCUCUCAAUUUUCUUCAUCAUCCUCCAUUGAUGAUCAUAUACAAAGCUUCAUAGAUUAUUUCUAUACCAUAAGCUUCCAUUAAAACGAGCUCUAAACAUCUAUACACUUCAAAUCAAGAGCAACUAUGGAAGGUUUUUAAAGCUUGAAGUCAAGAGGAGGAUUUUAUUUUUCUACUCAAGAAUCAUUGAGUAAGUGUUAGAUUUAUUUAAAUCUAAUCAUAUUUGAGUUAUAUAAGCAUGUAUAUGGAUGAAAAUAGCAUGAAAACCCACUUAUUUCUCUUUUCAUUUUUUCGAAAAUUAGGGUUCAUACCCUUCAAAACAAUUUCAUCAUCUAAUCUUAAAUUGAGAUUAUAUUCAUGCUAUUGAGAUCCUAUUUAGUCCAUUUCUACAUGUAAAGAAUGGAUUUAGAUUGAUAUGUGAAUUUUUGGAUGAGUUAGUUUAUAUGAUAUUGAGAAGUUUGGAGUUCAUGGAGUGAGUGAUGAUUUGAUUAUGAUUAUGAGUUUAUGAUAUUUGAUGGAUUAGAAUAAUGAUUAAAGGUGUUUGAUGAGGAUUGAAGUGAGUUAGUUUGAUAAAAAAAAAUAGGGUAUAGUUGGUUAUAUGCUUAAGUUGGCAAAUUGAUGAGUUAUUUUGGCAAACAUGGAAAAAGCUACUGACUUGAUGAAUUUCGACAGGGUUUUUGAUACCCAAAAAUCUUGAAAAUUUUAUGGUGAGUAUAUAAAAGUGUUAUGAACGUAAUUGUAGAAUUUCAAGUUAUUUGGACAUUGUUUACUAUCCUUUUAAAAUGCAAAACACCAACUGCAACUUUCUACCAAAAAUUUUAAAGAACAGACCUUAGAGUCACCCUUCUCAGUAGCAUCCCCUGAUGUUUUUCCUUCCCAAUUUUUAUGGUAAAGAGAUUAAUGUGUUAUCUAGCUGCCCACAAAAUUUGAAGUCAUUUCGGCAAUGUUUACUAGUAUUUUUCAAAAAUCAAAUCCUCCAGUUGCACAAAACUGCCGAAUAUGGUAGAUUGUGGGAGAACGGUCAUAUCUCUUAUACAACUUAGAGUUUUUCAACCUACUUUUUUUUAAGUGAAAUUAAACUCAAAGAGGUUUCUAAUAGUAUGAGUCUCGAACUCAGGAGAGUUCUGAGGAGAAAUAAUUUAUUCUCUUAAGUUAAGGUAGUGCAGAAAGAGUGAAUUGAAUAAGAUUUUGAUUAUGAGAUGAGAUAUGAAUUAAAGAUGCCUAUAUGUGGCUUAGUGAAGAUGAAUUGAGCUUAUAUAUGAAAAACGAAAUAAAAUGUAUAACUUGUUUAUGUGAAUUAAUUUUUGAAUAAUUGGUUUAAGAAUGAUUUAUAAAAUAAAUUUUUGGGAAUUUUCUCCGACUAAAAAUAUUUUACUUUUUUUUCAAAAAUGAGUUUGUGUAUGUGAUUGCUAUGUGCUUUUGGAUUGUUUAUCUAUGAGUUGUACCUUGACAGAGUUUAGACCUAAAUUAGGUGAUAAGUCGAGAAUAGAAUAGUGAUUACGUAGAAAGAGUUUUUAUAUGAGAUCGAGAUAGACGGAGUGUAGUGAUGAGGAGAUGAAAUAGUACUAAGAUAGGAAUGGUAUUCUUAGUUAGGAAGUUCUGACUAAUCUCUUUUAUUCUUUUCAUGAACUACUCCGAUGUGACGGUAUCUGAAGAUGUGAGCAGAGGACGGAAGUGAGUCCACCCCGAGUGCUACGAGAGUAAGCUAAAGCCAUCAGGCGGCCAUUAUUUUUACUACGUAUAUAGAGAUCCCCUGAGCAUCGUAGGCCUCUUAUACGAAAUGAAGUAAAUGAUAUGAUUUAACUGUAAAUUUCAGUUUGAUGAAAAUUAUUAAUGAUGAUGAAGUUUAUGAGUUUGAUAAAUGAUUUGAGAUUAAAUGAUGAUUCAAACUAACUGCCUUGCCAAUUUUUGAUGAUGAUGAGCCUGUAUGUCACCCUCUACUGAUGAGACGAAUUCGGGUCUGCCACAAGCGGGAUUGUGUACACAGAGGUGACUGUGAGCUUUCCUCGGGUCAGCCGGUCAAAAGUGACUAUGAGCCGUCAAUCGAGUCGGCCGGUCACGGUGCUUGAGAAGGAGGCUUACUUCUCAGUACCUUUGAUAACGAUGAGUUGUAGAUGUGGUACAUACAUGAUGAGUAUUUUGAUAGCGCUAUCAUUUAUUUAUGAUGUUUAUGAUUGUUAACUGCUUACACGGGUUCUUUUGAGUAAAAUCCCCAUAUAUUGCUUAUGUGGCAAGUUCAAUCUAUAGCUCUAAGAGCGAGUUUCAUUGAUUUUUCGGUCAUAUGUCCACUGAGUAUUCUGUACUCAGCCCUGCAUGUAUUUCUAAACGUGCAGGAUAAGCGAGGAGGGAGAUUGGACUGGUGCUGGCAGGGAUUUUGUUUCGGAUGAUCUUCCUUAUGUCGUGAUUGUAUUCCUUGCGGUAACAUCAAGAUGUUGAGGUUUAUUUUGGACUUAAUCAAGAAAUUUACUCUCGACUAUAUGUCUUCAUACAUAUAGUCUGUUCGCAUUUUGCUGCGAUACUAUGUAUAUCCCGAGUCUUUGUGAGUAAUUAGCUAUGUCUGCUUUGUAAAGGUUGACAAGAAUCUCGAUGAUUUAAAAGUUAUAAAGCUAAUAAUUUCUACACUGAUGAUGAUGUCAUCUUUCUUGACUUAUCACGUUUCAGUGAUUGCUUCCG
rnacentral:lncRNA from 1 species